rnacentral:rRNA from 1 species
UACGUAGGGGGCAAGCGUUAUCCGGAUUUACUGGGUGUAAAGGGAGCGUAGGUGGCAUGGCAAGUCAGGAGUGAAAGCCCGGGGCCCAACCCCGGGACUGCUCUUGAAACUGCCAGGCUGGAGUGCAGGAGAGGCAAGUGGAAUUCCUAGUGUAGCGGUGGAAUGCGUAGAGAUCCGGAGGAAGACCGGUGGCGAAGGCGGCCUGCUGGGCAGUUUCUGACACUGAGGCGCGACAGCGUGGGGAGCAAACAGG